GUGGGAUUACCCGCUGAACUUAAGCAUAUCAAUAAGCGGAGGAAAAGAAACUAACAAGGAUUCCCCUAGUAACGGCGAGUGAAGAGGGAAAAGCCCAAAUUUGUAAUCUGGCUCUUUUAGAGUCCGAGUUGUAAUUUUGAGAACUGUUUUCAGUGCUGGACCAUGUUUAAGUCUGUUGAAAAACAGCAUCAUUGAGGGUGAUAAUCCCGUUCAUGAUAUGGACUACCAGUACUUUAUGAUACAGUCUCUAAGAGUCGAGUUGUUUGGGAAUGCAGCUCAAAGUGGGUGGUAAAUUCCAUCUAAGGCUAAAUAUAGGUGAGAGACCGAUAGCAAACAAGUACCGUGAGGGAAAGAUGAAAAGAACUUUGGAAAGAGAGUUAACAGUACGUGAAAUUGCUGAAAGGGAAACAAUUGAAGUUAGCCUUGUUAUUGUCAGUUCAGCUCUUUUAGAGUGUAUUCUGAUGAUUAACGACCAACAUCAGUCUUUGAGUGCUGGAUAAGGGUUUUGGAAAUGUAGCAGUCUCGGCUGUGUUAUAGUCCAUUACUUUGAUACAGUGCUUGGGAUUGAGGAUCGCAGUAAGCCAUUUUAUGGUGGACCAAAUUUUUGGUCUUCUUACUGAGGAUGUUGGUGAAA
rnacentral:rRNA from 1 species